rnacentral:rRNA from 1 species
GACGAACUCUGGCCCGUGCUUAACACAUGCAAGUCGAACGAUGACGGAGGAGCUUGCUCCUCCUGAUUAGUGGCGAACGGGUGAGUAAUACGUGAGCAAUGUGCCCUUGACUCUGGGAUAAGCGCUGGAAACGGCGUCUAAUACCGGAUACGACGAUCGGAGGCAUCUCCUGGUCGUGGAAAGAACUUCGGUCAAGGAUCAGCUCACGGCCUAUCAGUUAGUUGGUGAGGUAAUGGCUCACCAAGACGACGACGGGUAGCCGGCCUGAGAGGGUGACCGGCCACACUGGGACUGAGACACGGCCCAGACUCCUACGGGAGGCAGCAGUGGGGAAAAUUGCACAAUGGGCGCAAGCCUGAUGCAGCAACGCCGCGUGAGGGACGAAGGCCUUCGGGUUGUAAACCUCUUUUAGCAGGGAAGAAGCGAAAGUGACGGUACCUGCAGAAAAAGCACCGGCUAACUACGUGCCAGCAGCCGCGGUAAUACGUAGGGUGCAAGCGUUGUCCGGAAUUAUUGGGCGUAAAGAGCUCGUAGGCGGUUUGUCACGUCUGCUGUGAAAACCCGAGGCUCAACCUCGGGCUUGCAGUGGGUACGGGCAGACUAGAGUGCGGUAGGAGAGAUUGGAAUUCCUGGUGUAGCGGUGGAAUGCGCAGAUAUCAGGAGGGACACCGAUGGCGAAGGCAGAUCUCUGGGCCGUAACUGACGCUGAGGAGCGAAAGCAUGGGGA